AAACUUCAGGGGCGCCUGGGUGGCUCAGUCGGUUGAACGGCCGACUUCGGCUCAGGUCACGAUCUCGUGGUCCGUGAGUUCGAGCCCCGCGUCGGGCUCUGUGCUGACAGCUCGGAGCCUGGAGCCUGUUUCGGAUUCUGUGUCUCCCUCUCUCUGACCCUCCCCCGUUCAUGCUCUGUCUCUCUCUGUCUCAAAGAUAAAUAAACGUUAAUAAAAAAAAUUUUUUUUAAAAUAAAUAAAAGCAAAUUUCACGUCAUCACCAUAAAUGGCAACCACCGCCACUUCCAUAAAUAAAAACUCUCGGUGGGCAAAGCGGGUGAAGGUGGUCAUGCAAAUUUUGGGGGGACACAAACAUUUGAAUCAUUGCAAUGAAUACCCCAAGCAGCAUAAAAUCCAGAAAAAUACUAUUUUUAUUACUUUCCUGGCACUAUAACGCCUUUUACUUUUUUGGCCGCAUAUUCUUUGCUUCUUUGUGUGAAGAUUUGACAUAUUUUCCAUAAAGGAAGUAGAAAGAUCAUUCUGUCUUUCCAACGGCCUGUUUUUUUCUCCACUGCCUGUGUACUCUGGGUACCAGGUAACACGGGACACGUUCCUUUGGCCCUCUGGCCCUGCAUCUUUGUACCUGGACCCAGGGGAGUUGGCACAACAGACAGGAGGAGGGUUCCAGAAGCCAUUCCUAAACUGGGACAGUCGGGAAUAACUGAAUCAUUAAUGGAGGUGGCUGUGACCCACAUAAAUAUAUCCCACUAAACCUAGAGUGAACAUAUGCCCAACUCAACGACUCUCUCUUAGCCCGACCCCCAAAUUGGCCUCUCCAAUACCACCCGACUCAAGAGGCAGUAUGAUAGAGGGGACGCCGGAGGGGAAGGAGACAGUAGUGUUAAUCAGUUUGCUUCAUACAUCUUAGCUCUCACGGGGCGACUGGAUGGCUCAGGAGCUUAAGUGACCUACUCCGGAUUUCGGCGCAGGUCAUGUUCUCGCAGUUCGUGGGAUCAAGUCUCACGCUUUGCUGUCAGCACAGAGCCUGCUUGGGACUCUCUCUCUCUCUCUGCCCCUCCCCUGCUCAUGCUCUCUCAUGCUCAAGAAGUCAACGUUUUUUUAAAAAAUACAUCUUAGGUCUCUCAAAUGUUGCAAACACCUCUAGUCAUGGAAACCCAUUGCCUAGGCAGAGAAGAGCCUUCAAGUUCAAGCUUUUCGGGGACCCCACCUCCGGAUUUGGUUCCUAAACCAGCUGGGAAGACAGAUAACGGCUGGGGUGCCAGCCAGUGACGCUUGCCAAAGGAAGAUGCAGCCUGGUUAUACCCUUCCUCUGGAAGGCUUCCCUCUGCCUCCUUCCUUCUCUCCUCUCCUUUCAGGAGCAGAGUCCCUCUUCCUCGACCGUGAACGCUUCCCAGGAAAGGAGCCAGUGUUUACCGACGCCAAAUUGCCAUCUGCCUGGCACGGGGCCAGGGAUUUUACGUCUGUCAUCUCUGGCCAAGCUCCCGGCAGCCCUUGCUGUGCUGAAAAAUCGAUGAAGAAUCAGAGAAGCGCCCAGCACCGCACAUGACACGAACAGCCAAAGACAGCACUCGGCGCCAUCUUCCGGGCACAGGUGCUCAGCAAAUGUCUGACGUGGGACGUUCCUCGGCUUUUGCGGAGAGGAAACUCUGGAGUCAAAGCCGUUGGCUGAGUCCUGGACGAGCCACCUUCCAGCUGUGUCAUCUUGGACCGCGAGACCAUGACCUGAGCUGAAGUCAGACGCUCAACCCACUGAGUUGCCCAGGCGCCUCACGCUGGCUCCUUUUUUCCUCCGCCUGUUCUUACUCCAACCUCCAAAGCACCUCUCUCCAUGACCGGCCAAGAGAGGCUCCUAGAAAUAAGAUUCAGGUAGGAGAUCACUCCGCUCCCCACCCCGCAUGGCUUCCAGGAGGCACAGGCACCCUCAGCCCAGGAGACACUGAGCGGCUCUGGGUCUGCUCACGAGCUGUGACUAUUGCCGGCUGGAUGACUGUCCUCUGGGCAUCGUGGGCUCUGACGCCAUUUUGUCUCCACUCCGUCUGUCUUCAAAGUCCAUGGGUAACUUCUUUGUUCGGAAGGGGCUCCCAAAGGGGGUCCAACCAUCCCGGACCCCCCCUCCAUUCCUAUUCCCCCUCGCCAUCCAUCUGAGCAGCCCCUUGCACUCAUCUGGAGCUGACCCAAGUAGACAAGAGCCCCAGACACCUUGGUACAAUUUUAUUCACAAACUCCAGACACCCAGGCUUGGCCUGGCACAAAGGAUGUGUCCUUGCCAGUGGCAAAAAACUGCUGACAGCACGUUCAUGAAUACUAACCGUUUUAAUUUAAAUUAAUAGCAUUUCUGGAAGACAAAUGCAGUUGAUAGAAAAUAUAAAAACUUUUACUGUACAAAUUUUACAUCACAUUCAAAAAACAAGCAGGCGUGUGCCUGUGGCCACGGAAGACGCUGGCUUUACACACACUGAUGAAAUCCUGGCUAACACUGCAGCAUCGUAUGAGCUCCCUAAAUGGCUUCACAUUUGUGUUUCCACCCCGCCCCCCCCCCCCCCCCAAAUCAACACAGAACCACGGCAAUACAGGCUUACAGGGCGCACAGCUGCCCCCUGUGAUCACAAGAAGAAAGGCCACGACGGGGCAGGAUUCCAGCGCCCUGCGCGGAUUUGGUGACGCGAGAGAGGUCAACACCGCUACACUGCCCUCGACUAACGGGGAGCUUGCUGGGAUUCGGGAUCUCGAGUUGGAUGGAGACCCAGGGACUGCGGCUUGGGAGAAUAAAGGCAGCGGGGACAUGGGCCCUAGGGUUUGGGAGGGGACGUUGGGGACUGGGGGCCCGCUGUAAAGAAGGACCAAAGCUUGGGCUCCACUCAGACCCCGCUGGGGACUCCGCAGCCCCCAGAGCUCUCGCCAAGGAGGGCCUCCCAGCUUCUCCGUCCCCUUCACGGCUGGCCGUGAGGGCUGAAUUCACAGUAUCUGCCGUCCUUCGUGUGUUUCCAUGGCAGACGGGGAGAGCACACAGAAGGACAAGCACGUGUUCCCAACCUCAAUUCACAGUCACUUAAAGAGACGGAAGGAGAAGGGGACCACGUUUUUUUUCUUUUUUUUUUUAAAUGACAGGCAGCACAGAGGCUAGGCCAAGAGCUGGGGGGCCGUCCAGGGCCCUGAAGACGAAGGGGGUGUCCCCCAGGCCUUCGGCUCUCCUUCAGGGUUCCUGGCAAAGUGUCAAUUCCUUAAGGGCAGGGACUGUGACGCCUCCCAUCGUGGGUCCCUGAACUUGCAUAAGACACCGUAGGUAUUCGACGAAAGCUUCUUGAACUGACCUGCGGGCGUGACGCCCACGGGGGAGGCCAAGGGAUGACAGGAUGAGACCAGCAGUCUCACGGAGGAGGGAAGAGCCACCCGGGGCUGACCCUAGCUGGGUGUCAGCUCCUGUCUUCCCCGACCAGGAAGGGAAAGGAGCUCGGGUCUGGGGCGCUCAUGGGGGGCGGGAGCCUGGAUACCUUGCCCGGCUGCACAGCUGCGCUCUCCAAGCGAGUGUGGAUCGGGCCGGGGGGCAUCUGACCCAGAGACAGGAAGGUGGCCCUACGACUUCGAGGCCGCGGCCCACUUCCCAGGACAUUGUGGCCAGACUCCAGGGAAGGCUCUGAAGAUUGGGAGCUUUGCUGGGGGAGUCUAAAUGAAAGGGAUGGGUGGCCCACACACCUCCCCAUCUUGGCUCAGAGCAUGGACACAGGUUCUGGGUCUGAAUCCAACCACGUCUCCACCCUCGUCACCCUUGGUCAGUUCUGGUUUGGGGCCUAACAUGGCGUAACGUCCACUGAAGGCUUCUCUCCCGUUUGGAACUUUUCUCUUUAGGUGACGGCUUCUGACGAAGACAGACAGGAUGCUCUCACGUCACCGACUUUCCCCAGUCAAGCCCCUCCUUCUGGCGCAAAUGUACGCAAGUGGCCCGGACUCGGUUCACGGAAGGCUCUGAAGACUGGGGGCCGGGUGGGUCCAGAUGAAAGGCGUGGGGGGCACGGGCCUCCCGUCCCAGCCGAGAACUCAGAUGUGGGCAGUGGAAGACUCAGGAGUGGCAAGGACUUCGAAAAGGGCUGGGGGAGAAGAGGUGGGCAGUUCCGAACCUUGGCAUGACUGCUGACGGGCUCCCAAAGAGCCAGGUCACCCUGUGGCUGGGAGGGUGGGCUCAGGGACCCUACUGCCUGCCACUUCUCUCUCCCCCUACCUUCUUUCUUCUCACCAAUCAAGCCUUCAUGGUGUCCACAGCUGUGGGGCUGGGCCUUCGCUCUUAGCCUCUUCGCUCACAUGUGAGCCAGGGACACGGAUGAGUCCCAGCUCCUUAGCGUCUGCCUUCCUGGAAGCCGCGAGAAGAAAAGCUCUCUACAGGCCGUACAAACCCUGGCUACCAACCACUGGGUCAGUCCAGAUGUUAUUUGGGUUUCAGCCGUCUCUACUUUUCUGGCAGGUAGGGGCUGCAUCCCUGGGGCCGAAUGAGAACCCCAGCUCGCUGGGAACCCCCGACCCUCAUAAUCCAGCUUGGUUCCUAGCCAGGGUUUCCUCUGCCACAGGAAAAAGGGACAGUGUCCUUCCGGUAGGACGGGGGAGAACCCUACAGAGGGAGACUCCCCACGGAUGGGGUUUAGGGCCAAAGCAGAGUCCAGGUCGAACCUUGUGGUCCCCAUCCUACCCCGAGAACAGCCACAGUCACCGUGCUUUUCUUCCUUCUCACUGCCGACAGGGGCCUCCGGGGAGGGGGGGUGGGGUCGCUUCCACCAGCCUGGCAGGUGGUGCCAGCCCACUUCUGCAGAGCACUUUUUCUUAGUACCUGUUGUAAAACAGCGAGUUCACUCCACAGAGACGUAUGUGUAAACGUUUGCUGCCUGUCAGGGCGGGUCUGGUUGUUGGUGAUGUCACUUUAAGACAAACAGCAGGUGCA